GGGAACGCAUAUGGUAGAUACCCGGGUUGAAGGAAUGGGUAGGGAUUCGUCCCUAAACUCGGCAGAAUGGAUCCGGAUCCGGAUCCGUGACCCGGAUUUAUCCAACCCGUUCCACCAUUCGGGUUGGUUUCGUGCGGUGGAUGAAUUGGUCCAUCCCCAUUGGGUUGAGUUCCAGACCCAGCUACAUUUUCCUCUCCGUGUGGGCCAUGUUGAUAAUUGGCCCACGCUUGUCCUAGUCCGAUGGUCCAUUGACCUUGGAUGGAAUGCCAGUGAGCUGGAUGCCACUGAAAUGGGCCGAGAAUCUGGACUGGAGUAGGUCCAAAUGGCCUGGAAAUCGGGACUGGAGCAAGUGCAAAUGUGGUUGAAUGCUGAACAGAAGACCGUCCAUCACCAAUUGGAUUAAUUUGAUCCGAUAAUGCUGGAGUUUGAAUUUUAGGAUUGCAACAACAAAAAGAGAGAACACCGGAGGCAAUUCCAGAACUGCGGAAGCUAGGCCAGGAAGGAUGGUUCUGAUACCAUGAUAGAAAUUGAAGGGAAUUGGAGAAUUUCUGAUUGUAUUGUAUUGAUUUUUAUGUAUACAUGUACAUAGUCUAUUUAUAGUGUACAAAUGAAACAAAAAGAGGAAACAAUAUACAAGAGAUCAUAAUCAAAUUAAUCAAGGAUCGAUUAAA